GAAAUCAUACCAAAAACAGCCCCAAACCAGAUAUCGGCGGAGUCGCCGUGUCUUCCCCUUGUCGGGCUUUCUUGGGUUAGGGCUAUCCAUUUGUUUCUGUUUGGGCACCUCUGGAAGUUUUGAUUCAGUUAUUUGACAAUCUAGGUUGCCUUUUUGUUUGUUGAUCUCACUGGGUUGCAUGUAUCACUUACAGUUUAAAGUUUUCGAGAUUCGUGAGAGUUCUGGGCUUUUUUGCCUGUAGAACCUGAAAUCCAUGGUCGUCUGCAUUCCAUGGAUACAUCUUCCGUUCAGUCCACUCCUUCAGUCGAAGAAAAUGAAUGGGGAAAAAGGCCGAUGUGGUAAAGAGGCUUACGAAUAAAGAUGGGUGUGCGUCCACGUAGCACCACUGGAAGCUUCAUAGUUUGAAGAUUAAAAUACAAGUGGGCGAUGGAGAAGGGAUACCGCUGCUACAGUAAGAUCAGGAAAACCCUCUGUAGAUACCGCGGAAGAGACAUUCGACGAGAAAGAGAACACCAUCACCAUCAGUGGCCCCUUUUGCCCCAAGAAGCUCACUAGAAAGCUCUGCUGCAAAGCUGGAAAUGCCAUUAAAUGCAUUGAGAUUGUCGAGGAAACGCCUCCGGAGAAACCUAAAUCUCUCGAUCCACCAAAGCCAGAGCCAGAGCCCGUGCCCAAGGCCAAGUCCAAGCCCAAGGCUGAUGUACCGGAAAAGCCUGCUGAACCACUUCCACCGUCGCCUCCUCCCCCCGUGGUUGUUGUUGAGGUUCCUCCGCCUCAAUCCAAUUCGGCCCCACCUAGACGGUCACUUAAAUCAGCUCCCCCAGCACCUUAUGAGGAGUAUGGAGAGGGACCAUGUGGUCAAACUUCA